rnacentral:rRNA from 1 species
UACGAAGGGGGCUAGCGUUGCUCGGAAUCACUGGGCGUAAAGCGCACGUAGGCGGCUUUCUAAGUCGGGGGUGAAAUCCUGGAGCUCAACUCCAGAACUGCCUUUGAUACUGGAGAGCUCGAGUCCGGAAGAGGUGAGUGGAACUGCGAGUGUAGAGGUGAAAUUCGUAGAUAUUCGCAAGAACACCAGUGGCGAAGGCGGCUCACUGGUCCGGUACUGACGCUGAGGUGCGAAAGCGUGGGGAGCGAACAGG